CUGUCAUAAAAAAUGUAAGCUCUGGUUUAUCUUUAAUACCGAAGCUGAAAAUGUUACAUGAAUGAAUGACUUACCGAACAGUCUUAUGUGUACCGUCUUCUGCGUGUGUUGUGAAGCGCUCGGCUUUUAUAUGGUUGUAAUACCCGUGACGUAAGCUCGUCAGUCAAUGUAUGAGCUACGUGGCAUCACGUGGAAUUUUCCUAAAGGGGCGUGUAUCUACCAGAAACCGUUCUACUUUCACUUUCGUUUCUGGAACUACAUCUGUGUAUCGUGUCG